GAUGAACGCUGGCGGCGUGCUUAACACAUGCAAGUCGAACGAAGCACUUUAUUUGAUUUCCUUCGGGACUGAUUAUUUUGUGACUGAGUGGCGGACGGGUGAGUAACGCGUGGGUAACCUGCCUUGUACAGGGGGAUAACAGUUGGAAACGGCUGCUAAUACCGCAUAAGCGCACAGCAUCGCAUGAUGCAGUGUGAAAAACUCCGGUGGUAUAAGAUGGACCCGCGUUGGAUUAGCUAGUCGGUGAGGUAACGGCCCACCAGGGCGACGAUCCAUGGCCGCCCUGAGAGGGUGACGGGCCACAUUGGGACUGAGACACGGCCCAAACUCCUACGGAAGGCAGCAGUGGGGAAUAUUGCACAAUGGGCGAAAGCCUGAUGCAGCGACGCCGCGUGAGCGAAGAAGUAUUUCGGUAUGUAAAGCUCUAUCAGCAGGGAAGAUAAUGACGGUACCUGACUAAGAAGCACCGGCUAAAUACGUGCCAGCCGCCGCAGUAA
rnacentral:rRNA from 1 species